rnacentral:rRNA from 1 species
GACAGAGGGGGCAAGCGUUGUCCGGAAUCAUUGGGCGUAAAGAGCUCGUAGGCGGCUCAGUAAGUCGGGUGUGAAACCCUCAGGCUCAACCUGGGGACGCCACCCGAUACUGCUGUGGCUAGAGUCCAGUAGGGGAGUGUGGAAUUCCCGGUGUAGCGGUGAAAUGCGCAGAUAUCGGGAGGAACACCAGCGGCGAAGGCGGCACUCUGGGCUGGUACUGACGCUGAGGAGCGAAAGCGUGGGUAGCAAACAGG